GAUGGGUGCUCAGUGGUUCUGGUGGAACAUAUUGACAGUAAAAACAAAAUUUGUCUGGAACCAAGACUCUAAACUCUCCAGAGCAGGAGUGAAGGCACCCCAGCCACUGGGCAAGAAGUCAUGCAGAGACCUUGGGGAGCCCUGCUGGGGCUUCUGUGGGUCCAGAUUUUCUGGGUGAGAGGGGUCAAGGUGGAGCAGACUCCUUCAUCCCUGAGCCUCCAGGAGGGAACAAACUCUACUCUGAAGUGCAAUUUUUCUGCCCCAGUGGACUGGGUGCAGUGGUUCCGACAGAAUCCUGGGGGCGGCCUCAUCAAUCUGUUUUUCAUAGCUUUGGGGACAAAGCAGAACGGAAGGUUAAGCUCCACAGUGAAUUCUAAGGAACGAUACAGCACCUUCCAGAUCACGGCCUCCCACCUGGAAGACUCAGCCACCUACCUCUGUGGGGUGGAAGCACAGUGCUCCCAGGUGGGCUGCAGCCUCUACCCAAAGUGCAGCUGAGCCUGUACCCACAGUUUCUGCUCUGGGAAGACUUGCACAGCAGCACUUUCCAUAGCCUUUG